UACGUAGGGUGCAAGCGUUAAUCGGAAUUACUGGGCGUAAAGCGUGCGCAGGCGGUUUUGUAAGUCUGUCGUGAAAUCCCCGGGCUCAACCCGGGAAUUGCGAUGGAGACUGCAAGGCUAGAAUCUGGCAGAGGGGGGGUAGAAUUCCACGUGUAGCAGUGAAAUGCGUAGAGAUGUGGAGGAACACCGAUGGCGAAGGCAGCCCCCUGGGUCAAGAUUGACGCUCAUGCACGAAAGCGUGGGGGAGCAAACAGG
rnacentral:rRNA from 1 species